rnacentral:rRNA from 1 species
UACGUAGGGUGCAAGCGUUGUCCGGAAUUACUGGGCGUAAAGAGUUCGUAGGCGGUUUGUCGCGUCGUUUGUGAAAAACUCGGAGCUUAACUCCGAGCCUGCUUCCGAUACGGGCAGGCUUGAGUUCGGUAGGGGAGACUGGAAUUCCUGGUGUAGCGGUGAAAAUGCGCAGAUAUCAGGAGGAACACCGGUGGCGAAGGCGGGUCUCUGGGCAGUAACUGACGCUGAGGAGCGAAAGCGUGGGGAGCGAACAGG